rnacentral:lncRNA from 1 species
AGAAUGUCCUUUUUGCUCAAAACUAUCAGUCUUAACUCCAUGCUUGCUAGCACUGAGAACUCCAUUGCCAUAAUCUCUUCCACUAACAGACUCAGUUUCUGAUUCCCACAUGGUGAGAAGCUAGAAUUAAGGACUAAUAACAAAAUUCACAACAGAGAAUUUUAUCAAGAAAGUGAGAGUAAGUUGAGAGGGGAAGCAGAGUAAGAAAAGCUCCCACAUGGUGAGAAGCUGUAAUUAAGGACUAGAAACAAAAUUCACAACAGAGAAUUUUCUCAAGAAAGUGAGAGGAAGUUGAGAGGGGGAAGCAGAGCAAGAAAAGAGCAGAACAAGUAGAGAAGCUGGACUGAUGAGUAAAAAGGAAAAAUCCCACAUGGGAAUGAUUGGAAUUAUCUCAUAUUUGUCGGCUUCUCAAGAAUUUUCAAGGUCUCCUACAGGCUGUGUAGUAAUGGCACAGUACCGGUACCAUUGUGUGUGUGUGUGUGUUUUUUUUUUUUUUUUUUU